ACUGCUAUCGGAUUGGUACUAAGCCAUGUGAGUCAUUGUAGCAAUACAAGGCAUACGGCUCAGUAACACGUAGUCAAUCUACCCUAUGGACGGGGAUAACUUCGAGAAACUGAGGAUAAACCCCGAUAGAUCAUAAUGCCUGGAAUGGUUUAUGGUCCAAACGAUUCGUCGCCGUAGGAUGGGACUGCGGCCUAUCAGCUUGUUGGUGAGGUAAUGGCCCACCAAGGCGAUUACAGGUACGGGCUCUGAGAGGAGAAGCCCGGAGAUGGGUACUGAGACACGGACCCAGGCCCUAUGGGGCGCAGCAGGCGAGAAACCUUUGCAAUGUGCGCAAGCACGACAAGGUUAAUCCGAGUGAUUCCUGCUAAAGGAAUCUUUUGUUAGUCGUAAAACCACUAGUGAAUAAGGGGUGGGCAAGUUCUGGUGUCAGCCGCCGCGGUAAAACCAGCACCUCAAGUGGUCAGGAGGAUUAUUGGGCCUAAAGCAUCCGUAGCCUGUUCUGUAAGUUUCCGGUUAAAUCCAUUAGCUCAACUAAUGGGCUGCCGGAAAUACUGUAGAACUAGGAAGUGGGAGAGGUAGGCGGUACUCGGUAGGAAGGGGUAAAAUCCUUUGAUCUAUUGAUGACCACCAGUGGCGAAGGCGGUCUACCAGAACACGUUCGACGGUGAGGGAUGAAAGCUGGGGGAGCAAACCGGAUUAGAUACCCGGGUAGUCCCAGCUGUAAACGAUGCAGACUCGGUGAUGCCCUGGCUUGUGGCCAGUGCAGUGCCGCAGGGAAGCCGUUAAGUUUGCCGCCUGGGAAGUACGUACGCAAGUAUGUAACUUAAAGGAAUUGGCGGGGGAGCACCACAAGGGGUGAAG
rnacentral:rRNA from 1 species